GUGAAGGUAACAACUUUUGCUUCAAUCAGGUCUUGUACCCUAUUUUGGAAUGCAAAACAAUUCUCCAGGGUAUGGCCGGGCGCUCCCAUGUGAAAUUCACAAUGGGCGUUAGCAUCAUAUCCUGGUGGAUAUGGAAAAACAGCCGGUUUUAGCUCCCUCAAUGUCAGAAGACCCUCCUUUUGCAAAUAUGGGAAUAUUUGGCUGUAAGGUACUGGUAGAGGGUCAAGUUGCCUUCUUGGAGGCUUUGGCUUGAAUUGUCUUGGUGGUGCUGUGUUCUGUUGUUGACGAGGUUGUUGAUGUUGUGGUUGAUACAUUGGUUGUUGUUGUAUGGGUUGCUGAUAAGGUAUGGGUACCACGGCAGCGACUUGGCCAUAUGAAGCCUGUUGCUUCCCCUUAUAGCCUCUAGAUACAGCAUUCGUUUCACCCUCUUUUUUCUUCUGGAAGCCUCCAGAAUACUUUU
rnacentral:lncRNA from 1 species